ACACAUGCAAAAAAAAAAGGGAAUUGCUUCUCCUUCCUCAAAACAAUAGACAAAUCUAUUGUUUGUCCAUUGAAAAACCAGUAAAAUCCUCACAAAUUUGAGCUUCAAACUAGCUUAAAAUAGUCCCUAAAUUCACCCCAAACUCGAGCUCAAAAAAGUCCCUUUCUCACCUCAAGAAAUCAGCAGUAAAACACCCCAAAACAGUCCAUAAACCAGCUCUAUUUCACACCAGAACCCCAACGAAAUUCAGUCCAAAACAGAAGCUAAAAAACAAUGAAAAUCUAGCAAAAAGGCCCCAAAAUCAAUUUCGCACGACAUCACCAAAACAUCCCCGUAACAACAUCAUUUUGGAGUUUGAGGUUAGCGUUCGAGGCUAUCGAGUAUCUGGUUGAAGCUCUGCACUCGAGGUCGUCGCCGGUUCUUGCCUUCCGUCUUAGUCGCUGGGUGACGGGUAUGUCGUUUUCAAUCUCAUCGAUGAUUUUUUUUUUUGUAAACCAGUUAGAAGAUUUUGAUGUUUCUGAAGUUAUAAAAGGUCCAACUCUUUACAUUCAUCUUGUUUCCUUCCGUGUUGUUAGUUCAACGAAUCCUUGCACUUCGUCGUCAUUGUUUGCUAGCAUGUUUCUGGUUGGUUACCUCAAUUAUUUUAUCGAUUUUUAUUGAUGGUUAUUGUUGUCAAUAUUUUCUUUGUGAUAAUGAAGUUGGUAAAUCGGGAAUUUGUAGUCCUACUUUGUUUACAACUAAAAUGUUUGGGCUAAAUUUGGUUAGCCAUUCACUGGGCCAUGAUUUUAAGUUGGAGAAGGAAUUGAUCUUCGUUUGUAGUAAUGGUUAAGUAGGUAUGGGCAUGCUUCAUAUGUAUUUAGAUAUAUGUGCGGGAACCAAGCUUGAAUUUGUUCUUAUGUGCUAAACAUCCUGAAUAGAAAUAAAUAAGGGUACAAUUCUUUCAAAUUAGAAUUGAGGUGCCAUUAGUUGAGUUUUCCGUAGCCCUCGCAAAGUUGCAAAUGCGUAGUUGUUUGAGACGCGUUAUUUUUAAUGACUCAUUUUCCUAUACUCAG
rnacentral:lncRNA from 1 species